UGGCGGCAGGCCUAACACAUGCAAGUCGAGCGGAAACGAGUUGUCUGAACCUUCGGGGNACGAUAACGGCGUCGAGCGGCGGACGGGUGAGUAAUGCCUGGGAAAUUGCCCUGAUGUGGGGGAUAACCAUUGGAAACGAUGGCUAAUACCGCAUAAUAGCUUCGGCUCAAAGAGGGGGACCUUCGGGCCUCUCGCGUCAGGAUAUGCCCAGGUGGGAUUAGCUAGUUGGUGAGGUAAGGGCUCACCAAGGCGACGAUCCCUAGCUGGUCUGAGAGGAUGAUCAGCCACACUGGAACUGAGACACGGUCCAGACUCCUACGGGAGGCAGCAGUGGGGAAUAUUGCACAAUGGGCGCAAGCCUGAUGCAGCCAUGCCGCGUGUAUGAAGAAGGCCUUCGGGUUGUAAAGUACUUUCAGCAGUGAGGAAGAUGGUGUACUUAAUACGUGCAUCAUUUGACGUUAGCUGCAGAAGAAGCACCGGCUAACUCCGUGCCAGCAGCCGCGGUAAUACGGAGGGUGCGAGCGUUAAUCGGAAUUACUGGGCGUAAAGCGCAUGCAGGUGGUUUGUUAAGUCANAUGUGAAAGCCCGGGGCUCAACCUCGGAAUUGCAUUUGAAACUGACAGACUANAAUCUUGUAAAAGGGGGUAGAAUUUCAA
rnacentral:rRNA from 1 species